CUGUAGUCUACUAAGUGUGCAAGACACCACAUGUACUUUUCUAAUGUUCUCUCUCUCCAUGCAGAUGCACACAGGAAAGGCCAUGUGAGGACACAGCAAGAAGGCUGCCUCUACAAGCCAAGAAAAGAGCCCUCAUCAGGAACUGGUCUGCUGGAGCUUGAUCUGGGACCUUCAGCCUCUAGAAUUGUCAGUUUCUGAGUGGGCUGAGAUGACUGAAAGUAGAAGUCAACUCCAGAAGCAGCUGAUUUCCAGCAAAAAGAGCGAUGAUUACUCCUCUGCUUACCAGCAGUUACACCUAUUGAUACUGGAGCCUCCCCCUACCACGAGGUAGCUUCUGCUGCUAUUAUCUUGCUGCUCUGGGGUUAUCUUUCAAGGUCUUUUGAUAAUGAUGUCUAACACUUGCAAUAGUGAGGCCACACUCUCUGGCUCCUCCAGAAACCAGAGGAUCCCGAGGAUGACACAUCAUCGUCUGAAUUGCAGCCUCCAUGCUUACAUCUUUAAUAGAACUGACGAAUAGGACCUGAAGUACAUGCUAUGUGACCUUGAUUUAGCCAAUGAUUGUUUUUCUAUUUCUAUCAGAAAAGAGAAUCCUAAACAGUUUGCAUUCACAUGUAACGUACAAAAGUGUCUAUCUACAGUUUUGCCUGGGACAAUGUUAAUUCCCCUCCCCCUGUCAUAACAUAAUCUGCAGUGAUCUGAACUGUCAGGAUAACCCGCAGAUUAUCACAUUUAUCCACCAUAUCACGUUAGUCAGAGCGGAUAUGCAAGUGGCUAGUAUGUUGGAUGCCUUGUUUGGACAUAUGGGCUUCAGAGGGUGAGAGAUGAACCAUGUGAAUAUUCAGAAUUCUUUUGACAUCAGUAAAAAUUUUAAGCAUAGUCACAGGCAUGCCAUGAAAAUUAAAAGAUAAAUUAUUUCAUCUUACACCCCAUGAAGAAAUUUCAGUCUCUUUGGGUUUUGGAGGUCACAUAAUCCACACCUGAGAAUACUGAUCGGGCCCAUUUAUUACUGACAAGAAGGGCUGCCAGCUUAAAGUAGACACAGGCAAGAAACCUCUGCAUCACAUCCAGACUUCGGUGCAUGCAGCCCUGCCACUUGGGCCACUCAGCUCAGGAGACCCUAUGAUAUUAGAGUUUUCUGCAGUAGGAAAAUAUGCCAUGUGGAAUAUAUGGCAAGCCCCGUGAGGAAAUCACAGCACAGGCCCCCAGAGGUGUGAAGCAUUGCCAAGCCGUCUGCAGUGGAGAAGGAAACCACUGAAGAAACAAUUCCUGGCAUAUUACUGGGCCCUGCUACAGUAAGAGAACCUGACCAUGGUACAUCAAGUGCAGCAUGUCAACUGGAUCAGGUGGACCCAGAAAAAACGCCAUCAUCUGAUGAAAGUGAUACAUUCAGGAUCGAAUAUGAGCAGAACCAGCGAGUACAAGCAAAUUGCACAACCAGGCAUCCCAGAUUUC
rnacentral:lncRNA from 10 species